AUGAUCAAGGGUCUGGAGAAUAAUAGCUUUAUAAACAAGCACCUUGGUAUCCCUAUGGAUGUCCGGAUCCUCAAACACUCUCUGCUUCAUUUGGAAAAAUGCUGUGCUUGCAGAGCUCAGGCGGCUUUGUAUUUUAGUGUCAGUAUUGACUUUUGUGGAGAGGUGGCUGCCAAGGUAGUGGAAAUGGUCAACGUUUUUUUUUCUGGGUUUGGGGAAAUGUUUUGGUUUGCUGCUGGUACUAUAAGAAACAAGGUUUCCGCUACCUUGUUUCUUAUAGUAUCAGCAGCAAACCAGAACAUUUCCCCAACCCCAGAAAAAAAGGAAAAAGCCCAGCUACUACUGUGGCUAAUGCUAAUAUAAUAGUGAGCACUCUUCCAAGGAACUCUUGGUGAAUUUCUUGUUUUUAUUUUGCAUAACACAAGCUCACAAAGAUGAAUUCCCUGCUCUAUUUCUUUGCUUACAAGUGGAAAGAAAUCAAAGGGGAGGCAAUUUGCUUACACACCUAGAUGAAAGCCUGCAUUGUGUGUGUAUCAUUCCUGUGAAGGGAUGAAAUUGAUUUAACAUGGAAAACAGUUUGAGCACAGUAAACAUUUAGAACAAUGUGUUUUCUGUGUGAUUAACAUAGUCAUUUCAUGACAGAGUUCAACAGUUGCAAAUUAAGCCAUAUUUAUCAAUCACAAAGCAAAGCACUUUAAAUACAAAAUACAGGAGAGUCUCGCUUAUCCAACCUUCACUUAUCCAACAUUCUGUAUUAUCCAACACAGUUUGCUUUUUAGUAGUCAAUUUUUUGUAGUCAAUGUUUUCAAUACAUUGCAAUCUUUUGGUGCUAAAUUCGUAAAUACAGAAGCAUUAUUCAAGCUACACCCACUGUAUGAAAUGAGAAAAUAAAAUAAAAUCAACAAGGAAAGACUUGUAUCCUGGAUUAAUUUAUUACAGAACAAGCUGGAGACUGGAAGUGGCAGAAUCCUACUACUGGUCAUAUGCAGCUCCCAACUGAGACCAUCCAAAUGCACCAUCAAUUAAUUUUAAUCUGUUUUGGAAAAUAAUGCUGCCCUCUUAAAAGCUCUUGGUGGCAGACUUUUACUUGCUUAUGGAUGGCCUGCCAAUAUCAAACAGUUGCCAAUCUGUAGAAGGGCAUGCUGCAUGAAAUGGGAGAAGGGUACAAGAUAAUGCCACAAACUCAGAUGCCAGUUCUGCCCACACAUCCACUUGGGAAGUAUCAUCACAGGACCUAAUCACAUCAUCUUCACUUGCCCAUCUUCUAAUGUGAUAUUUGCCAAUCUCUGUCAUCAUGGCCCAUCAGCACUCUACAUUUGGGAAAAUAGGAUAGCCUCUAUACUAUGGGAUAAAUAGAUACAAAUUGACAUUAGGAAUGGGAAUACACACACACACCAGUUCCAAUACACUUCUAUCUUUUUGCACAUUUUAUCUUGGAUUGAUUCAGGGCAAUUGUCCUUGAACCAAAAAAAGAACCCAUCAAAGAUGUUAAAAUAUUGCUUCACAUUUUGCAUGCAUCUGUCCGUUCUUGGAUAAUGCAUAUCUUUCCAUCAUUGCCUUCAAUAUGCCAUUUGAUCUUCUGGGAUUGUGGAAACAGCAGGCACAUUCACAGACAUGCUACUGGUUGCACAGCAUCAGUAUUCAGCAGAAGGGUAAUAUGGAACAACAGCAAUUUGAAUUAUAGAUUUUUGCUACACACAUUAUGAUGUAGAUAGGGCCUUGGUUAGAUGUCAUUCACCACUUGAGGGAGCACCUUUGCAAAAAAUGCACUACAUAUGUAGUUUUGACCUUUAAUUCUUAGAACAAAUAUUCACCUCUGUUGCCUUGAGCAUGUCCUGUUG
ensembl:lncRNA